rnacentral:rRNA from 1 species
UACAGAGGUCUCGAGCGUUGUUCGGAUUCAUUGGGCGUAAAGGGCGCGUAGGCGGCGGGGUAAGUCUGGUGUGAAAUCUAGGAGCUCAACUCCUAAACUGCACUGGAUACUGCUCUGCUGGAGGACUGGAGAGGAGACUGGAAUUCACGGUGUAGCAGUGAAAUGCGUAGAUAUCGUGAGGAAGACCAGUGGCGAAGGCGGGUCUCUGGACAGUUCCUGACGCUGAGGCGCGAAGGCCAGGGGAGCAAAGCGGGG